AUUGAACGCUGGCGGCAGGCUUAACACAUGCAAGUCGAGCGAGCGGCGGACGGGUGAGUAAUGUCUGGGAAACUGGCUGAUGGAGGGGGAUAACUACUGGAAACGGUAGCUAAUACCGCAUACCAUAAGAUGAGCCCAGAUGGGAUUAGAUAGUGGGUGGGGUAAUGGCUUACCUAGGCGACGAUCCCUAGCUGGUCUGAGAGGAUGACCAGCCACACUGGAACUGAGACACGGUCCGGACUCCUACGGGAGGCAGCAGUGGGGAAUAUUGCACAAUGGGCGCAAGCCUGAGACAGCCAUGCCGCGUGUGUGAAGAAGGCCUUCGGGUUGUAAAGCACUUUCAGCGAGGAGGCGUUACUCGCAGAAGAAGCACCGGCUAACUCCGUGCCAGCCGCCGCGGUAAUAC
rnacentral:rRNA from 1 species